rnacentral:tRNA from 1 species
ACUCCUGGGACUCGAACGGCCUCCGGAGCCGUGUGCGCAGGUUCGAAUCCUGCCGGGGGUA